rnacentral:rRNA from 1 species
AGUGAACGCUGGCGGUAGGCCUAACACAUGCAAGUCGAACGGCAGCACAGUAAGAGCUUGCUCUUACGGGUGGCGAGUGGCGGACGGGUGAGGAAUACAUCGGAAUCUACUUUUUCGUGGGGGAUAACGUAGGGAAACUUACGCUAAUACCGCAUACGACCUACGGGUGAAAGCAGUGGAUCUUCGGACCUUGCGCGAUUGAAUGAGCCGAUGUCGGAUUAGCUAGUUGGCGGGGUAAAGGCCCACCAAGGCGACGAUCCGUAGCUGGUCUGAGAGGAUGAUCGGCCACACUGGAACUGAGACACGGUCCAGACUCCUACGGGAGGCAGCAGUGGGGAAUAUUGGGCAAUGGGCGCAAGCCUGAUCCAGCCAUACCGCGUGGGUGAAGAAGGCCUUCGGGUUGUAAAGCCCUUUUGUUGGGAAAGAAAAGCAGCAGGUUAAUACCCCGCUGUUCUGACGGUACCCAAAGAAUAAGCACCGGCUAACUUCGUG